CGAGUCGGCCGGGUGACCGCGGCGCGCAAGCGUCGAGGAAAGUCCGGCCUCCAGAGGGCAGGGUGGUGGGUAACACCCACCCGGGGCGACCCGCGGGAAAGUGCAACAGAAAGUAGACCGCCUCGAGCAAUCGAGGUAAGGGUGAAACGGUGGUGUAAGAGACCACCAGCACCGCAGGUGACUGCGGUGGCUAGGCAAACCCCACCCGGAGCAAGGUCAAGCGGAUCGGGCAACCGAUCCAGGCGGAAGAGUGGCCCGCUCACAUUCCGCUGGUAGACCGCACCAGGUCAUCGGCAACGGUGAUCGCAGAUGGAUGGUCACCCUCCGCAACGCGGAGACAGAAGCCGGCUUACAGGCCGACUCGUCCC
rnacentral:RNase_P_RNA from 1 species